rnacentral:rRNA from 1 species
UACGGAGGGAGCUAGCGUUGUUCGGAAUUACUGGGCGUAAAGCGCACGUAGGCGGCUACUCAAGUCAGAGGUGAAAGCCCAGGGCUCAACCUUGGAACUGCCUUUGAAACUAGGUAGCUAGAAUUCUGGAGAGGUCAGUGGAAUUCCGAGUGUAGAGGUGAAAUUCGUAGAUAUUCGGAAGAACACCAGUGGCGAAGGCGACUCACUGGACACAUAUUGACGCUGAGGUGCGAAAGCGUGGGGAGCAAACAGG